rnacentral:rRNA from 1 species
AGCUAAUACUUGCUUUAGCACUCUUGAUUUAUUUCUUGAGUGUGUACUUGUUAAGCCUUAUAAGAAAAGAGUUAUUAACUUAAGGAAUUAUAACAAAGAAGUAACACGUAAUGGAUCAGUCCAUUUUUAGUGUGUAUCAAUCGAGUUUCUGACCUAUCAGCUUUUGAUGUUAGGGUAUUGGCCUAACAUGGCUAUGACGGGUAACGGGGAAUUAGAGUUCGAUUCCGGAGAGGGAGCCUGAGAAAUAGCUACCACAUCUAAGGAAGGCAGCAGGCGCGUAAAUUACCCAAUUCUAAAGAAGAGAGGUAGUGACAAGAAAUAACAAUACAAGGCCAAUCUGGCUUUGUAAUUGGAAUGAUGGGAAUUUAAAACCUUCCCAAAAUUCAAUUGGAGGGCAAGUCUGGUGCCAGCAGCCGCGGUAAUUCCAGCUCCAAUAGCGUAUAUUAAAAUUGUUGCAGUUAAAACGCUCGUAGUUGAAUUUCAAAGAAUCGAUAUUUUAAGUAACGCUUCUAGCUAUAAAUCCACAUAACUGAUGCCUCCGCGUAUCGACUUUGUGCGCAUUUUAGCUAUUAUGUGUUCCUUUAAUUAAAAUGAUUCUUUUUAAGAUUCAUCUAUUAAAAAUUUGCUUCGGCAAAAUUUUUUUUGAUGAUCUUGUUACUUUGAGUAAAUUAGAGUGUUCAAAGCAAACAGAUAUAGCAUUUGUGCGUUUGAAUACUACAGCAUGGAAUAACAAAAUUGAACAAGUCAGAAUUUUUUUGUUCUUUUUUCUUAUUUUGGCUUAGUUACGAUUAAUAGGAGUAGCUUGGGGGCAUUUGUAUUCAGAUGUCAGAGGUGAAAUUCUUAGAUUUUCUGGAGACAAACAACUGCGAAAGCAUUUGCCUAAAAUACUUCCAUUAAUCAAGAACGAAAGUUAAGGGAGUGAAGACGAUCAGAUACCGUCGUAAUCUUAACCAUAAACUAUGCCGACUAGGCUUUGGAUGAAAGAUUUUAAAAUAAGAGUUUU